rnacentral:sRNA from 1 species
AAUGUUGCAGCUUCUUG